rnacentral:tRNA from 3 species
GGGCUCGUAGCUCAGUGGAAGAGUACCUCGUUGACACCGAGGGGGUCGACAGUUCGAUCCUGUCCGAGCCCA